GGAAUAUAAGAACCCGUCUCUUAACUUUUAACUAAAAAAGCUAAGAACCGGUUCUUAAAUUAGAGUUUUAAGAGCCGGUUCUUAACUUUUUUAGUUAAAAGUUAAGAGACGGUUUCUUAUAUUCC
rfam:Brassica napus, WGS project CCCW01000000 data, contig: 19694